rnacentral:rRNA from 1 species
UACGGGGGGGGGCAAGCGUUGUUCGGAAUUACUGGGCGUAAAGGGCUCGUAGGCGGCCAACUAAGUCAGACGUGAAGUCCCUCGGCUUAACCGGGGAACUGCAUCUGAUACUGGAUGGCUUGAGUUCGGGAGAGGGAUGCGGAAUUCCAGGUGUAGCGGUGAAAUGCGUAGAUAUCUGGAGGAACACCGGUGGCGAAGGCGGCAUCCUGGACCGACACUGACGCUGAGGAGCGAAAGCCAGGGGAGCAAACGGG